UACGUAGGGUGCAAGCGUUAAUCGGAAUUACUGGGCGUAAAGCGUGCGCAGGCGGCUUUGCAAGACAGAUGUGAAAUCCCCGGGCUUAACCUGGGAACUGCAUUUGUGACUGCAUGGCUAGAGUGUGGCAGAGGGGGAUGGAAUUCCGCGUGUAGCAGUGAAAUGCGUAGAUAUGCGGAGGAACACCGAUGGCGAAGGCAAUCCCCUGGGCCUGCACUGACGCUCAUGCACGAAAGCGUGGGGAGCAAACAGG
rnacentral:rRNA from 1 species